rnacentral:misc_RNA from 1 species
GCCCACCGCACCUACAUCGCCCCAAUGACCCCCGACCUCGUCGAACAAAUCCUUGCCAAAGAGCGUCCCGACGCCCUCCUCCCCACCAUGGGCGGACAGACUGCUCUCAACCUCGCCGUCGCUCUCUCCGAAUCCGGCGCCCUCGCCCGCUACAACGUUGAGCUCAUCGGCGCCACCCUCCCUGCCAUUCGUGCCGCCGAAGACCGCAACCUCUUCAAGCAAGCCAUGUCUCGCAUCGGCCUCAAGACCCCUCCCUCCGGUAUCGGCAACACCCUCGAAGAAUGCCUCUCCAUCGCCUCCUCCAUCGGCGAGUUCCCCCUCAUCAUCCGCCCGGCCUUCACCCUCGGCGGCACCGGCGGUGGCAUCGCGUACAACCUCCCCGAAUUCAUUGAGAAGUGUAACCAGGGGCUCGCUGCCAGUCUCACCUCCCAGGUGCUCGUCGAAAAGUCACUCAUCGGCUGGAAGGAGUACGAGCUCGAGGUUAUGAGGG